UUUCUACCAGAAGGAGGCGCGCGGCCCAGAUCCCCCCAGUCUCCUUUCUUAAAUCCCCCUACUAAGGGCUGCCAAGGUUGGCCGCACGGAGGGAGAGAUCCCUCCGGCAGGCCUGGCUCUCCCCCCGCCCCCCGGGUUGGUUUUUCCCAGCUGCGGAGGUUGGGCCAGGGGCUGGGGUGCGCGGAGAGUCGGCGCGCCCGCAUCGCGGAGCGGAGAAGUCGCGGAGACUCUGGUGGGACUGAGUUGUCUCCGGAGGUGACGGGCGCGGAGGUCCCGGAGCGGAUCAAGCGUGAGGCGCCAACAAAAGAGACAAGGAGGUGCCACCCGGGGGCGGCGGCAGAAGAAGAGCGGGAGGAGGAGCGCGGAGCUAAGAGUCCCGACCCGCCUGUCCUGGAACUUCUCUGCUGGACUUUUGGACCUCCACAAUGGCCAUCUGUGAUAAUCUUGUCUGUAGGUGAUUGUUAAAAUCAGUAUUCUUUAAAGGAAGAUAGACAAAAACUCAAUUACAUCAUCAUGUAUGUAACUCCUCUGAUGUUUUCUACUUGAAUCUAUUCCAUUUUAACUUAUUUUUUUCAAGAUACUGGUUAUUAUUCAUAAGCUGAUACUGUGUGUCAUUAAUUGGU
rnacentral:lncRNA from 1 species